UAGACAAAGAGCCACUUGUGAGCUUCACAAGAACCCUAGCAGGUCGUGAACAUACUAGAAGAUGAAAUCUGCUGUUGUAGUUGUUAUAGUGUUGUACAUCAUGGCAUUGUUUCUGAUUGAACAAGGUUUCUGCAGGUUACGUUGUUCUUUCUUGUAGUUAAUCUGCUAUCCUCCUGUGUCCCUUAAGUGACUACUAAGUCCUCUGCAUCAAGUCUGGUCGAUCAUGACAUUCAAGACUGCCUGACAAAUUUUCUUCCGCUUAUUUUACGAUGGUCAAUAUCGAUUGCUAUAGAGAUGUAUGAUCAACUUGGUGUUAAAAUAAAAAUAAAAAUCAA